UGGCGAAGCGCACCUGGCAAUCCGACCUGUUCUUCGCUAACUCUAAACGAGCUUACUCACACGACAUCACGCAGCCGAACAUGCUCAUGUGGCUCUGGCCUAAUGGAACCGUGAUGUACAACGUCAGAGUCUCAUCGACGUUUAUGUGCCAAAUGAACCUGGUGGAUUAUCCUUUUGAUACGCAGCAAUGUCUCAUGCAGUUAGGAAGCUUCGGACACACGGACAGAGAAGUACUUUUUUGUCUGGAAGGAGACAAG